rnacentral:rRNA from 1 species
UGCAGGCUGAAACUCGCCUGCACGAAGUUGGAAUUGCUAGUAAUCGCGGAUCAGCAUGCCGCGGUGAAUACGUUCCCGGGUCUUGUACACACCGCCCGUCACACCAUGGGAGCUGGUAACACCCGAAGUCAGUAGUCUAACCGCAAGGAGGACGCUGCCGAAGGUGGGAUUAGCGACUGGGGUGAAGUCGUAACAAGGUACC